rnacentral:rRNA from 1 species
UACGUAGGGCGCAAGCGUUGUCCGGAAUUAUUGGGCGUAAAGAGCUCGUAGGCGGUUUGUCGCGUCUGCUGUGAAAGUCCGAGGCUCAACCUCGGAUCUGCAGUGGGUACGGGCAGACUAGAGUGUGGUAGGGGGAGACUGGAAUUCCUGGUGUAGCGGUGGAAUGCGCAGAUAUCAGGAGGAACGCCAAUGGCGAAGGCAGGUCUCUGGGCCACAACUGACGCUGAGGAGCGAAAGCAUGGGGAGCGAACAGG